UGGGGAAUUUUGGACAAUGGGCGCAAGCCUGAUCCAGCCAUGCCGCGUGCGGGAAGAAGGCCUUCGGGUUGUAAACCGCUUUUGUCAGGGAAGAAAUCUUCUGAGUUAAUACCUCGGGAGGAUGACGGUACCUGAAGAAUAAGCACCGGCUAACUACGUGCCAGCAGCCGCGGUAAUACGUAGGGUGCGAGCGUUAAUCGGAAUUACUGGGCGUAAAGCGUGCGCAGGCGGUUAUGCAAGACAGAUGUGAAAUCCCCGGGCUCAACCUGGGAACUGCAUUUGUGACUGCAUGGCUGGAGUGCGGCAGAGGGGGAUGGAAUUCCGCGUGUAGCAGUGAAAUGCGUAGAUAUGCGGAGGAACACCGAUGGCGAAGGCAAUCCCCUGGGCCUGCACUGACGCUCAUGCACGAAAGCGUGGGGAGCAAACAGGAUUAGAUACCCUGGUAGUCCACGCCCUAAACGAUGUCAACUGGUUGUUGGGAAGGUUCCUUCUCAGUAACGUAGCUAACGCGUGAAGUAGACCGCCUGGGGAGUACGGCCGCAAGGUUGA
rnacentral:rRNA from 1 species